CCUGUCUUGUUCGGAAAGGGUUAGGCAGAAACCACAACGAAUGUAUUACUAGUGGGUGCGCGUACUCCGCACGGUCGGCUCCUUUUGUAAACGCGAGACAAAUUCGCGUUGCUGCGCUGAACUCUAUUAUCAUCGCUGACCUCGAUUCAAAUAGCCUUUGAGCGUUCAUAGCAGUCAAGCGACCGAGCGGAGACGAGAGAUGCGAAGCGCCUGCCGUAAAGAAGCGGCUCACCCCGCGAUCGCUAUCAAGGAUCCUGUCAAGGAAGCGUUAGUGAGCGAGUCUGGGAGUUGCGGAAGAUCUCCCGUCGUCGAUUUUUUCGUCUCUGCUUGGGAGAGACAGCCGAAAAUGGACUAUGACAUAAACGUCAUAAAGGAAGGAUACUCGUUGUUGAGCAACGAUGGACGCACCAUGGUAGCUAAUGGGACAUCCACCCUCGUACGUGGGCCUGGCUUUAACAUCAUUGUGGAUACACUGUCUGCUUGGGACAAGGACUUCCUUGUGGAAAGUCUCGCAAGGCUCGGUGUGUCCUGUGAUGAAAUCAACUAUGUGGUCUGCACCCAUGGUCAUUCGGACCAUGUCGGAAACCUAAAUCUGUUCCAGAGGGCCACCCACAUCAUUGGCACCACAGUGUCCAGUGGAGACGUGUACCAGCUGUGCACAUUUGAAAACGACGAACCUUAUAGGAUUGCAACUGAUGUCCAAAUCAUUCCCACACCAGGCCACACCUUGACUGAUGUCAGCGUCGUGGUGAAAACAGCAAAGCUGGGCACAGUGGCCAUAACAGGCGACCUGUUUGAGAAGGAGGAAGACAUCGACAACCCCAAGCUGUGGAAGGAGGUAGGUGGCAGCGAGGACCCGAAACAGCAGUGCAGGAGCCGCCAGAUGAUCCUAGACGUGGCUGAUUACAUAAUACCCGGCCAUGGGCCCAUGUUCAAGGUUACCGAGGAGAUGCGAGAGAAGCAUGCAAGCCUCUUGGAGUCUCACGACAUCGAGGACGGCAAUUGACGCCGCACCUAAUCUAGGAAGUUGUGUUGUUAAGCCCAUGUUCAGCUUUAGUUAAUAAUUAUUAUUGACACUGUCUGUGAUGAUGAAUGUAAAGUGGCAGGCAUCAACUUGUUCAUGUCACGACAGAAUAUGUGUGCCCCUCUUUCCUGUGAGUGAUUUCUGUGUCCAGGCUGAUUGCAGAAUGCGCUCUUACAGCAGUAUUAUUAGAAUAGUUUUGCAACAAAGUAUGACAGAUUUGUACACCUGACCGUAUACAUGUUAUAAAGAUCACAUUGAGAACCCUACAAGGGAAAUCAAUGGCACUCUCCAGGAUUUUUUAAAAUACUUCGGCAAAAUGUAAAACAAGUGAGAAAACUAGUUCCUGAACAACUAGCACCUGCCCACUUGCAUAUUGCCCCAAUUGCAGCAACGAAGUGUGUGUUGAAUUUAUAAACUAAGAUAACCAAGUACAGUAUACCUCAUUUUACAAACGUUUGUCUCCUUUAUAGUUUGCCUUUAACAAGGGCUUUGCAUGCACUGUAAUUCUAUUUUGUUUUGCAUGCGAAUGCCUGUGCUUUUCUGAGAUUUUGUUCUUGUGGUUAUUACUUUAAGUUCAAGUGUAAAAGAGUACCCCAGAAUGACUUGAAUGUUUUUCUCACACAAUGAUGCUCUAUAGUUCUUUUAUGCUGCAGUAUCCACCUGUGGAUUAAGACAUUUUGUGUCAACCUGGCAAGGUUUGAGCUUAAUAUAAUAUUGUUUCCUUGCCAAAAGUGAAUGUAACACUCUUCCGCCCGCCACACUUUACAAGUUCAUUUUUGCAUUUCGAAGAAGGCAAAAUUUUAGCUCAGAACAAUCCACCACAGUGUUGACUAAUGACUUCAUGAGAAAUUCUGCGCUGAACCAGGCGUAACUUUAUGUUAAAAUUCUGGCACUAAAUUAAGACAAGGAUAGAAAGGAGAGCACACGACACGAGUGCCAACAAUUGAACGUUUAUUUUUGAAAUCAACACGGGCACGAAAUUUUGAGAAGAGUGCAUACCUACUUGCUGUGUAUACCCUCUUGAGCAUAAUUUCAUCAAAAAGCUAAGAAUUCAAUUUCAUGCAUCUUAGUCUUAUUAAUUUAGGUCAAGCGACUAAAUAUCGGCAGAUUGUUGUUAAAGUAGCACGCCCAGUAAUGUAAUGUGAUCAAGCGCAAACUAG
rnacentral:misc_RNA from 1 species